rnacentral:rRNA from 1 species
AUCCUGCGCAAUGGGCGAAAGCCUGACGCAGCGACGCCGUGUGGGGGACGAAGGCCUUCGGGUUGUAAACCCCUGUCGGGUGGAACGAAUCCCCCGAGGACGAAUACUCCUCGGGGUUGACGGUACCGCCGGAGGAAGCCCCGGCUACCUACGUGCCAGCAGCCGCGGUAAUACGUAGGGGGCGAGCGUUGCUCGGAUUUACUGGGCGUAAAGAGCGCGUAGGCGGCCAGGGAAGUCUGGUGUGAAAUCCCUCGGCUCAACCGAGGACCCGCAUUGGAGACUCCCUGGCUUGAGUCCAGGAGGGGAGGGUGGAAUUCCCGGUGUAGCGGUGAAAUGCGUAGAGAUCGGGAGGAACACCGGUGGCGAAGGCGGCCCUCUGGAAUGGUACUGACGCUGAGGCGCGAAAGCUGGGGGAGCAAAC